GCGGGGCGCGUCUAGGGUUCCGUCGGAUUCUCCGGGGCUGGUCCGAGAGACGCAGGCAAGGCGGCUGCCUUGUUCCACGGCGGGAUAAAAGCCCGGGAGGC
rnacentral:sRNA from 2 species